rnacentral:lncRNA from 1 species
GACAAAACAAUAGACAAACUCAAAAUGGGAGACAUUGGACAAGAUAACUGGCCAAACUCUUCCGAAGUGUCAAAGUCAUGAUGUCAAAGAGAGAGGGGAGACCUGAUUCCUGCUCCAGGACACCUCAGAGACAGGACAACUAAAUGAAAAGUAGAACUUGAAGAGGAAGCUGAUGAUGAGAGUCCUCUUGAACUCCACUUUCCCACCUGGCGCCGAGC